GCUGACUUGAAGACAAUCGUCAUGAAGACUGCCAUCGUUAUUCUGUUCGUCCUGAUCGCUUGGGGCGCUGUCUCCGAUGUGGAAGCCUCGCCUUAUGCUCCCGUAAAGCGUGCACUCAGGGCUGCUGCCCAAGGCUUCGCUACUUCGUCGCUGGGGGCUCCUGGCGGUGGGCGGUUCCGUAGGAAGACCUGCCUGGUAUUACUGGUGCCUUACACGACUGCCCCGUGCUGACGGCACCCGAAUGGCGCCCUCCAAGAGGCCACCAAUACCAGUGUUUCUUACCAUGGUUACACAGUGGUUACGGUGAAAUAAAAACAU